GGAGGAAAGGGGAAACCCGCUAAUGGAUGGGUCCGCGUCCCAUUAGCUAGAUGGUGGGGUAACGGCCUACCAUGGCGACGAUGGGUAGCCGGCCUGAGAGGGUGACCGGCCACACUGGGACUGAGACACGGCCCAGACUCCUACGGGAGGCAGCAGUGGGGAAUCUUCCGCAAUGGGCGAAAGCCUGACGGAGCGACGCCGCGUGAGCGAAGAAGGCCUUCGGGUCGUAAAGCUCUGUUCUGGGGGAAGAAGGAAGUGACGGUAC
rnacentral:ncRNA from 2 species